UACGUAGGGGGCUAGCGUUGUCCGGAUUUAUUGGGCGUAAAGAGCGCGUAGGCGGCCCGUUAAGUCGGAUGUGAAAACCCAUGGCUCAACCACGGGCCUGCAUCCGAUACUGGCGGGCUCGAGGCAGGCAGGGGAGAUCGGAAUUCCUGGUGUAGCGGUGAAAUGCGCAGAUAUCAGGAGGAACACCGGUGGCGAAGGCGGAUCUCUGGGCCUGUCCUGACGCUCAGGCGCGAAAGCUAGGGGAGCAAACAGG
rnacentral:rRNA from 1 species